rnacentral:rRNA from 1 species
UACAGAGGUCUCAAGCGUUGUUCGGAUUCAUUGGGCGUAAAGGGUGCGUAGGCGGCGCGGUAAGUCGGGUGUGAAAUCUCGGAGCUUAACUCCGAAACUGCAUUCGAUACUGCCGUGCUUGAGGACUGGAGAGGAGACUGGAAUUUACGGUGUAGCGGUGAAAUGCGUAGAUAUCGUAAGGAAGACCAGUGGCGAAGGCGGGUCUCUGGACAGUUCCUGACGCUGAGGCGCGAAGGUCAGGGGAGCAAACGGG